UACAGAGGUCUCAAGCGUUUGUUCGGAUUCAUUGGGCGUAAAGGGUGCGUAGGCGGCGCGGUAAGUCGGGUGUGAAAUCUCGGAGCUUAACUCCGAAACUGCAUUCGAUACUACCGUGCUUGAGGACUGGAGAGGAGACUGGAAUUUACGGUGUAGCGGUGAAAUGCGUAGAUAUCGUAAGGGAAGACCAGUGGCGAAGGCGGGUCUCUGGACAGUUCCUGACGCUGAGGCACGAAGGUCAGGGGAGCAAACGGG
rnacentral:rRNA from 1 species